GCCUGGGUGGCUCAGUCGGUUGAGUAUCCGACUCCGGCUCGGGUCACCAUCUCACAGUCGUGAGUUCGAGCCCCGCCUCGGGCU